UACAGAGGUCCCAAGCGUUGUUCGGAUUCACUGGGCGUAAAGGGUGCGUAGGCGGUCGGGUAAGUCGGAUGUGAAAUCUCCGAGCUCAACUCGGAAAUGGCAUUGGAACUACCUUGCUCGAGGGUUGGAGGGGGGACUGGAAUUCCUGGUGUAGCGGUGAAAUGCGCAGAUAUCAGGAGGAACACCAAUAGCGAAGGGCAGCUCGCUGG
rnacentral:rRNA from 1 species